rfam:Schistosoma rodhaini strain Burundi genome assembly, scaffold: SROB_scaffold0000351
AUCCGGUUGACUAGUCCCAAAUAGGACGGAACGCGCGUCCUGGAU